AUUUUAAAUGAAAAAAACAACUAACAAUAGGAAUAGAUGCAAACAGAUGAAUGAUUUAUAAGAUUUUUCAAAAAAAUAAUGCCUCUGUAUGCUUCUUGUGAACCAUUUGUACUGGGUAACAAUUAUUAUCUAAUUCAAUUGAAUAUCUUUUGCCCCUGCUUGAAUUCAUCAUCUUCCAAUUUUAUGCUGAAAGGGGUUGUGAUACAAUCAGGACCAGUUUUCUCAAUAACAUCAACACCAAUAAUGGACAAUCUCAAAGGAAGAAAAUCAAAUGAUGAAAAGCCAUUUUAUUCCUUUGAAGUUCUGUAUGCAAUUAAAGAAAAGAACUUGAUUUGGGAUGACGAUACACCAUGAUUCUCGUCAGCUUGCAAAAUUGGGUAACAAUCGUUGCUCAUCUUCAGCACAGUUGAACUCAGUGUUGGAUCGUAGGUAGCCGGAUUAAACUGAAAUCCGCCCACAAAGACGCCAGUAGGCUCCAGGAUGAAAAAGGGAUUUCUCGAACACCCAGAUAUCACGGACAAGGACCUACAAGCGUAAGCUUCUAAAUGACAAGUAUCAAACCAACAAUUCCAUUCAAUUCAUUUUGAUCCAUAUAUCAUUUCCUUGGGAACAGAAGUGCAUGUCUACAAAUUCAAAGUCCAACUUCCAAAUUGGGGCAACUAUUCUACACCCACCAUUGAUAGCAAUACCUUAAUUACCAGAAGAAAAAGAAAAAUGAAAUUGUCCAGAAAUUGUGCCACUAAACCCCUGUACAAUAAGUGCCUCAUUAGUCCAUACAAAUGCAAGCUCAAUCCCUACCUAGGCAACUCCAGAAAAUGCUGAUCUUCUAUGGACAACGACUAAAACGAUUUGACAUUCUUAACUUUCAAGUUAUAGUAAUCCCUCAAUUUAUCACCCAUUACCAAACCCCUUUCCUCCAUUUCCUCCAAAACUAACUUAGCUUGCUCAAGCCUCUCCAACUUAAUCAACUUACUAGCCAAUAUCCCAAAAGUCUCUGCAUCUAAUAUUGUAUCUCUCCCUGCAUAAAUCAUCACAAACUUAAUUGCCUGUGCAUAGAAUCCUAACUUCAAGAAUGCAUUGAUUACAUGCACAUAUGUAGAAUACAAUACAUGUGGUCCAUCAUGCUCCAUCCUCCUCAGCACCACAAGGGCCCCCUCAACUUUCCCUACUCUACAUGCACCCAACACCAGUGCAUCAUAUGUUCGUGCAUCAGCACCCAGCCUCUCCUCUUCAAUCCUCUUCAUCACCUUAGUUGCAGCCAUUAAAUUGCCAUUAUAACAAUAUGCCGUCAACAAAUAAUUGAAAGCUGUCAGGUCAGGCAAAACACCCACUGCCCUCAUCAUUUCCAUUACUUUCCAGGCAACCUCCAUCUUCUUCUUCCUUGUGAGAGAGCUCAGUAUAGGGUGAAAGCUACACGCGCUUAACCCAUACUGCCUAUGUGCCAUGAUAUCCACAAUGUGCAAUGAUUCCUCAAUUCGGUCUAGUUUGCAAAGACGAGCAAUAAGUGUAUUAUAUGCACUUGUACGAGGGAAGCCACUGUCAAGGCGGGCUAGUGUUUCAGUGAGAUCAUCUAGGAUUGAGAGGGAGUUAUCAGUGUUGGUGAUGAAUUUGAAGGUGUUGACAGUGUUGAAGCAGCCAUCUCUCACACGCUUGUUGAGGAGGUAGCUAAGCGUAUUGAAGUCUCGUUCCUGGCCAGCAGCAUUGACAAGAUCAUCAUAAUAGGCAGCACUAGGCUUGUCAGGAAAUGAGUUAAGGCUAAGACUUUGGGAUGCAAAGAAGCGAGUGGUGAGGGAUAGUAUAGAUUGGCGAUUUGGGGAUAUGGGAUGCUGCUUGCGGAGAAAUGGCAGUGCAUUUGUCUUAGGGUUCAAGAGAGAUUGGCGAGCAAGCUCCUUUGUUUUAUCUCCAGCAACAGUAAUGCCUUUUGAAUCAUAAGCUUCAAACUUCUGCUUUGUUAGAAGCUCAAGGGUUAGCUGUAUGAAAACUUUAUUGAGGUCUUUUCGAUCAACACCUAUCUGAAAUCGUGUACGAAAAGAAAAGCAAGGUAUGUGAUUUGAAGUGAACAAAAAGAAGUUACCUUUCGUAAUUCAAGAAUAUUCAUGUGUGCAUAACUUUACCGUUUUCUACAUAAAGUAAAAUUCGAAAAUAUGCAGUAGUUUUUACAUAACGUAAAAUUGUAAAGCAUGCAGUAGUUAUUUCUUCAAAAAUUCAACUAUGUAGUAUUUACAAAUCAUUGAUCAAAACUGUCGGGACAAAAAAAAAUACUCGCCAGUCGAGCUCGCAAUGUUCGUAUCUUAACCACUGGUUCAAUCAUUUCCCAACAAACUUUAUUCCACAUGGACUCUCUUUGCUUAAUUUCAUUCUUGAGUUCAGAGUACAUUUUUUCUGUAACCAUUUUCCUCAAUGAAUUUUUGUCACCAUUUGCGAUUAGAGUGCUUAUCUGGAAGAAUAGAAGGGGAUAAGGAGGGUAGAAGGCAAACAAACAUGUCAUUGAACCCAGAUGAACAAUAAUAAAGUCUGUAUACACUUAAAUCUUGAACAAUAAACAUAGAGACACCUCCUUGUACAAGUCAAUGGCCUCUUUGUAGAACUCAUGUUUCGAGUAUCCAGAUUUUCUUAACUUGGAAAUGGCAUAAGCACUUUUCAUCUCUAGAAUGAUAUCUUCUUUUGUUCGUCUCCAACCACUUUUUGUGAACCACCUGAUACAAAGAAAAUAAGAAGUCUGUUGAUGGCUGAAAACAUGUACUACAAGUGAUUACAAGUAUAAUAGUGUUUCCAAGCGUAUUUGCAACUGUAGGGCAAAGUAAAACUUUGGCUCAAUUCUAAAGAAGCAGCAAAAAGGCUACCACAUAUAAAUACAAGUCAAUAUGGAAAAACUCCUGUAGAAAGCUUGCAACCAUAAAAAGGAAGUUCAUUGUCUUACACAACAUAAAAUGUAAAGAACCUGUAUUUGGCUAGCAGAAUUCACAAAUGAGCUGAAAUCUCUCAAUGCUCUGAUCAUCCUAAUAAACCUUACUGAGGGUGCUCUACAUAGUCUAAAAACUGCAAAGGCACACUUCGCCAAAAUGGGAUUGGUUCACGAGGUGCAUAAGGUUCAUAGAUGAAUCCAGGACUCGAAAUGGACACUUUAAGAGCCCCCAUCUGCCGUGCUUGUGCGGGAGCUCUUGCCUGUGUUGUCGCCAACCUCUUGUUGCUUAAGAAAAUUGAUAAUUCCAUGGCCAUUGAAGAAUGAAGGGUUGUCCUUCCAUGAGUCCAAGGAAGAGAAUUGUGGCCCCAAUGGGGACAAAAUGAAAUUCUCCAGGAGUUCAGUUCACAACCAUUUGAAAAAUGACUACUAUAGCUUCUUAAGCUCCCAAGC
rnacentral:misc_RNA from 1 species